GGAGUUUUGGAAGUAGGCAACGCAACAUCUUUGACCAGAAGAAACUUUAUACUUAACAAAGGCGUAGAGUGCAGCAAGCUUGGUGGGCGGAUCAAGUGCGUAUUGAUUUGGCGAGCGUGUGACAGAACCGAGGAUGGAGAGAUGCGACCGCAAACCGACGUUUUCUCGGCCAUUACGCUGCCAUGAUAAGAGAUGCCUUUCCUCUUCGAUGAAUUAUUCCUCGAAGCGGGUUAGAUAUGAAAACAAGGAUAAAGAGAGAAGGAAU